rnacentral:lncRNA from 1 species
GACUAUGGAGGUGAGUCUCUGUGCAUGAUGUUGUUGUUGCAUGUGUUGUAUGUUGCAUGCAUUCAUGUUGUUGGAUAAAUGGUCAGUUAUUGGUGAGCCUCAAAUCCCAUUGUGUGGAUUGGGCAGAUAGUUGAUUUCAGAGGUGAUGAAAUCAGUGAGACGUUAUCGGAGGCGAUGGUAGCGAAUUGAUGACUCUGAUCCUAGGAGGUGACGAUCGAAGUGGUGAACCUGAGUGUUCACGUAUUGGUACCACAUGCAUUGAGUCGAGUUGUUG